AUCUAGCCCCGAUUGAACGAAAAGCCCGGAGCGAAGCGAGGACUUGAAGAGAAAGCGGGACCGAAC
rnacentral:sRNA from 1 species